CCUACGGGUGGCAGCAGUGGGGAAUAUUGGGCAAUGGAGGAGACUCUGACCCAGCCAUGUCGCGUGAAUGAAGAAGGUCUUACGAUUGUUAAGUUCUUUAGUCAGGGCAGAAGUCAAUGACGGUACCUGAAUAAUAAGCUCCGGCUAACUACGUGCCAGCAGCCGCGGUAAUACGUAGGGAGCAAGAGUUGUUCGGAAUUACUUGGCGUACAGGGUGCGUAGGCGGUUGUACAAGUUAGAAGUGAAAUACCCAGGGCUCACCUGGGGUGCUGCUUCUAAAACUGGAUGACUUGAGUGCAGUAGAGGUUAGUGGAAUUCCUGGUGUAGCGGUGGAAUGCGUAGAUAUUAGGAGGAACACCAGAGGCGAAGGCAGCUAACUGGACUGCAACUGACGCUGAGGCACGAAAGUGUGGGUAGCAAACAGGAUUAGAUACCCCAGUAGUC
rnacentral:rRNA from 1 species